UACGUAGGGUGCAAGCGUUGUCCGGAAUUAUUGGGCGUAAAGAGCUCGUAGGCGGUUUGUCGCGUCUGCUGUGAAAUCCCGAGGCUCAACCUCGGGCCUGCAGUGGGUACGGGCAGACUAGAGUGCGGUAGGGGAGGUUGGAACUCCUGGUGUAGCGGUGGAAUGCGCAGAUAUCAGGAAGAACACCGAUGGCGAAGGCAGAUCUCUGGGCCGUAACUGACGCUGAGGAGCGAAAGCAUGGGGAGCGAACAGG
rnacentral:rRNA from 1 species